rnacentral:rRNA from 1 species
GAUGAACGCUGGCGGCGUGCUUAACACAUGCAAGUCGAACGGAAAGGCCCAAGCUUCCUUGUGUACUCGAUUGGCGAACGGGUGAGUAACACGUGGGUGAUCUGCUCUGCACUUCGGGAUAAGCCUGGGAAACUGGGUCUAAUACCGUAUAGGACCACACUUUGGAGGGUGUGCUGGAAAGCUUUUCGGUGUGGGCUGAGCUGGCGGCCUAUCGGCUUGUUGGUGGGGUAAUGGGCUACCAAGGCGUCGACGGGAAGCCGGCCUGUGAGAGUGAACGGCCACACUGGCUCCGAGGUGAGGCCGAGGUGGCGAAGAGUGGAAGAAGUGGGGAAUAUUGCACCAUGGGUGCAGGGCGGAUGCAGAAGGGCUGCGUGUUGGAUGACGGCUUUGGGGUUAAAGAAACGUUUCGGUAGGGAAGAAGGGUUAUCUGACGGUACCUAGAGAAGAAGCACCGGCUAACUACGUG